GAUGCCAUCCAGGCGCACGGCGGGUAUAGUGGUUCCGCAACCUUGGGAUGUUCGGCUGAGCGCCUGCCUAACAUGGGAGCGCCUGCCUAACCCUCCUGACUGGAGGGUCAGCGGCGGGGAGUCCUGGCCUUCAAUCGGCCAUCGCCACGGCAGAAACUGGGGCCCGGGCUGCGUCCAGGCCCUUCCCCGUCCGUCCACAGGUCUCAUGGGCGCCCGGACUGGGGCUGAUGUAGUUUCCCGACCUCUGACACAUAGGAUCUGGAGAUUAAAGCUGCUCUGCUAAUAAUUAGGUUCCCACCUCUCAAGAUCAUUAGGAGCUUCUUUUCCAAUUCCUCUGUUUUGCAUGCAUUGGAAGGAAAAUGGUGACGCCGAGGGUGACUGAUUUCCAGGUUUACAUCGGUUGCCCCAGGGGAAGUGCCUGGCCCCCAUCUGGUCCUUGCUGCUCUAACUUUGCCCUGUUAAUUGAAGAAAUGCAGGAUCUGGAGCUCAGGACCCACUACCUCCCCGGCCCACUGCAAGCUUGAACAUUUGAUGGUGGACACCCCUCCCUGACUUUGUAUUAUGGUCCAGAUUUUGGAUGAAUCUCUAUAGAGAUUGAACAGAUAAGGCUCACCUUUCAAUAGUUACACCAAGAAAGGCCUAGGUGGUGACUUAAGCUAUGGUUUUGGGCAGCACGAGAGUGGUCAGGUGGACAGUAGGGAAGUCUACAUGUAACCCAAACGGAAAAGAGAAAAGGCCCCUGAGAAAUCAGGGCAAAGUCCCACAGUGUCUCUUUCCCCAUAGUGUCACUGGUGUGGGGGUUACCUUCCCACUAUGUCUCCCAGAAGACAUGAGGGCACAGACUACAGUGCCUGUGGACAGAGGAGCUGUGGGGAUGGAAGUGUGAUUGCUUCAUUCAAAUGCACGCCCCGGUGCGUGUGCGUCUCUUCUGAUGCAGCUCCCCAUGGCUGAAUACUUCUGUAUGUCAGCUUAGCACCCCUAGCAUCAGCCAUGCUACUCUCCUGCUGUGCAUAGAUGGGGGCCUGUCCCCCUGCUGAAUCUCCUGGGUUCCUGCUGUCAACACCUGAAGGCCCCUGGAUCCUCCUGGAAUCCCUGAUCCCUGUUGCUCCCUGGCGGAGUUUUCUAGUCCCUCUUACUUGAAGCAUGUCUUUCAGAGCCCGGCACCACCCAAGUUGGGUAUCUGCUCCUGCUGUCUUCCAUGCUGGGGACAGGAAAGGCUCCACGCUUGACUUUCCCUCCUGUUUUCUUAUCUGCUGUCAACCCCUGA
rnacentral:lncRNA from 1 species